ACGUAUAAUCUAGUGGACGGGACGCUCCUUCAACAACAACAGCUAGUCAGACACCUCGGUAGCUUUCUAGCAAACACAGCUACAACAUUCACGCUCUUUACACUGUUUUGGUGUAUAUUAGUCGCUGUGUAUUAAACACACUUCUGUCGUAUGUACUUGUUGGCCCAUUUAAUUAUAUAUUUACGUUGUUUGUCAGCUAGCUGGUUUGCUAAGUUAGCUUAGAACUAAGCUAGUCGCUAAUGCUACCUAGCUAACAUCUCCGACCAUGAGUUCACUAAGCUACUCUCCUCCUGCUACAGAAGAGGGGGUCUGCUGGACGGAGAAAGAAGCUUUCGUCAAAGAGGAGGAGGAAGAGAAGGAUGUUACAAUACAAAAACAAGUAGAGGGUGAGGCUGUUAAGGUGAAAGAAGAAGAGAAAGACGUUACAAUGAAAGAAGAGGAAGACGCGUUCAGAGUGAAAGAUGAGGAAGAUGUUACAGUAAAAGAAGAGGAAGAGAAAGAGGAGGAUGCAGUUUUUGGAGUGAAAGAGGAGGAGGGGGAGAUGACUGUCACAUUGGAGGAAGAAGAGGAGGUUGGAGAUCUGUUUAACCCCAGUUUUCUGUCCUCAGAUAAAGAGCGCUAUGAAAGCCAGUCUACAUAUGAAGAGGUCCCAAUGAAGAGCAGUGGUUCUCAGUCCUGGGGACUCAAAGAGGGGCAUGUUUUUGCCUCAGCACUGCACAGCUGAUUCAAAUGAUCAACUCAUCAUCAAGCUUCAAGUGAUACCUUGUAACUGGAGAUUCCUUCAAAACGAUUGCCUACAGUUGCCGUGUAGGGCACUGCAAGGUUGGGUGACCAGGGUCAUCUGGGACUGCCUUCUGGAGGAAUUCAGAUGUGUGAAGGCUACCUGUGUCCUGCGUAACUUCAUGAGGAUGGACACGAGGACCAGGAGGGGAUCUGCAGCUCGCCGCCGUGUCCCAGAGGAGGAGUCUGCUGCUCUGCAGGAUGUUUCAAGGAUGGGGUCCAACAACGCAGCAAGAGAGGCAAUCCGUGUUCAGGAGAUCUUCACCUCCUACUUCUUCAAAGAGGGUACUGUUCCCUGGCAACACCAUAGACUACACUAUGCACAACCAAAGGCUCUUUUAAGAGCCAUCCACAUUGCAAUAAGAGUAUUCUUCCAUUUACUUAGCUAUGUCAACUGAAGUUAUUCAAUUCCCAGUUUCUCUCCCUUUGAUUUCUACUUCUCAGGUGAGGGUGCUGUUUAGGUAAGGGUGUGAUGUCUGUGCAAAAACAAAACAGGCUAUUUUAAAUCACCCAUAUUGAAGAAAUGUAGAGCAAUUAGACACCCUAUAACCCACACCUACACACUCAUGUAUCAAUCUGAUUGAUGGAUUGUGUUGUGCAGUAAGCAGGCUCAGGUGUAUAACUGUGGCUCCUUCCACCUUCAAAGAAUAGGCAAGAGGGCCAAACAUGGAGAAUAGUAAGACACUUCAUUAUUUCUAUAACUACGCUAUAUUGUUUGUCCUUGUGUGUCCGUUCAUGUUUUUCAGCAUAAAGUACUCUGCAGCCACUUAGUGUGGUGUGGACACCAGGUGAGGCCACACACAGAUUCCUGUUGAACACUGUCACUUUAACUACCUUAUUUUCUCAACAACAGUCUCUCUCCUUCACUUCAUCCCUCUCUCCCCUUCUCCCUAAAUCCUCUAGGUUAUAUCAGCUGUGUCGGUGAACCCCUCCUGCAUCUGGACUGGCUACAUAGAGGGCACAGCAUGAUCAGAGAUAUGUUUUGAUGUGAGAGGAUGCCAACCCCUAGUCCCAUCAUCGCCACCUCACCUGCUUUUAAGAUAACCUUUGGGCCGACUAGAGACACUGCUAUAUAAUUGUGAUGAACUGAGAGAAUAUUUAGGUAGCACUGUGAUUCAUUAAUCAUGUGCUGCCUUCCCUGCUCCUAUGUGCUUACCUCUUUCCCUUUCUGUCUUUUACACCUCUCUCUCCACCUCUUUCUUCCUCUGUUUUUAUAAUGCACAACAGAUGUGCAUUGAAGUACAGAUUGAACUUGUAUUUAUAACACUUGGAUAAUGAGCUUUUCAAUCAAGCGUUUCACAUUCUCUACUGGUUGAAAUGAAGUGUAAUGUGAUGAAAUACUCCACCUAUCCUGUGUUUAUCAGAUCAAUGCAGAUGAAGGGCAUUAGAUGUUGAGAUGAACCGGUGUUGGAGUAUUUACAUGAUGCAUAGGAAGUGUAGUGUUCUGGUUUUUAACAUUAUAUUUCUGUAUAUAUGAAUUAACUAGUUAAAUCCUGUUUCUAGUCUAUUAGUUACAAUGUGUAACCAUUGAUGUCCCAGGACCAAGAUUGGUAAACACUGUUGAAGUGUAGAAUUGUAAUACAUACAUGCAGACACAGCGUCAUUCAAAGACUGGAAUUUGAUACUCCUGGUAUUGGAUAUGACUGAAUAAUCAUCUCAAAGACAUUCAUACCUAAACUGCACCUUUAUUUGCCAAGGUAGAGUACAUGAUUAGUGAACAUAUUAAAUGUACAGGCUACAAUGUGGGGAUCUCAUGCAUGGUAAUAACUACAUGUAUAUACGACUUGCAUCCUUGGCACAACAUGAUAUUAUAUUCUACUCAAUCCA